CUGAGACCUGAUGCCGAGCCGAUUGUGGUGAAGUGGAUGAUCCUAUGCUGUCGAGAAAAGCCUCUAGCGAGUUUCAUGGCGGCCCGUACCCUAAACCGACUCAGGUGGUCAGGUAGAGAAUACCGAGGCGUUCGGGUGAACUAUGGUUAAGGAACUCGGCAAAAUGCCCCCGUAACUUCGGGAGAAGGGGGGCCACGCUCGGUGAUCCGAUUUACUCGGUGAGCUGGGGGUGGCCGCAGAGACCAGCGAGAAGCGACUGUUUACUAAAAACACAGGUCCGUGCGAAGCCGUAAGGCGAUGUAUACGGACUGACGCCUGCCCGGUGCUGGAACGUUAAGGGGACCGGUUAGUCACAUUUCGGUGUGGCGAAGCUGAGAACUUAAGCGCCAGUAAACGGCGGUGGUAACUAUAACCAUCCUAAGGUAGCGAAAUUCCUUGUCGGGUAAGUUCCGACCUGCACGAAUGGCGUAACGACUUCUCGACUGUCUCAACCAUAGGCCCGGUGAAAUUGCACUACGAGUAAAGAUGCUCGUUUCGCGCAGCAGGACGGAAAGACCCCGGGACCUUUACUACAGUUUGAUAUUGGUGUUCGGUUCGGCUUGUGUAGGAUAGGUGGGAGACUUUGAAGCGGGCACGCCAGUGUUCGUGGAGUCGUCGUUGAAAUACCACUCUGGUCGUGCUGGAUGUCUAACCUGGGUCCGUGAUCCGGAUCAGGGACAGUGUCUGAUGGGUAGUUUAACUGGGGCGGUUGCCUCCUAAAGAGUAACGGAGGCGCCCAAAGGUUCCCUCAGCCUGGUUGGCAAUCAGGUGUUGAGUGUAAGUGCACAAGGGAGCUUGACUGUGAGACCGACGGGUCGAGCAGGGACGAAAGUCGGGACUAGUGAUCCGGCGGUGGCUUGUGGAAGCGCCGUCGCUCAACGGAUAAAAGGUACCCCGGGGAUAACAGGCUGAUCUUCCCCAAGAGUCCAUAUCGACGGGAUGGUUUGGCACCUCGAUGUCGGCUCGUCGCAUCCUGGGGCUGGAGUCGGUCCCAAGGGUUGGGCUGUUCGCCCAUUAAAGCGGUACGCGAGCUGGGUUUAGAACGUCGUGAGACAGUUCGGUCCCUAUCCGCUGUGCGCGUAGGAGUCUUGAGAAGGGCUGUCCCUAGUACGAGAGGACCGGGACGGACGAACCUCUGGUGUGCCAGUUGUUCUGCCAAGGGCAUGGCUGGUUGGCUACGUUCGGGAGGGAUAACCGCUGAAAGCAUCUAAGCGGGAAGCCUGCUUCGAGAUGAGGACUCCCACCCACUUGAUGGGGUAAGGCUCCCAGUAGACGACUGGGUUGAUAGGCCGGAUCUGGAAGCACGGUAACGUGUGGAGGUGACCGGUACUAAUAGGCCGAGGGCUUGUCCUCAGUUG
rnacentral:rRNA from 1 species